CCCUUAGAUGUUCUGGGCCGCACGCGCGCUACACUGACUGCUCCAACAAGUUACCUGGGCUGACAAGCAUCCGGGAAAUCUUGCAAAGGCAGUCGUGAUGGGGAUAGAUUCUUGUAAUUUUUGAUCUUCAACGAGGAAUUCCUAGUAAACGCAAGUCAUCAGCUUGCAUUGAUUACGUCCCUGCCCUUUGUACACACCGCCCGUCGCAUCUACCGAUUGAAUGGAGAGGCAAAAUCUUCGGACCGUGACGCUUGGGAAUCAAAUCUCGGGCUGUCGUGGGAAGUGGAUUAAACCUUUCUAUUUAGAGGAAGGUAAAGUCGUAACA
rnacentral:rRNA from 1 species